AACGAACGCUGGCGGCAUGCCUAACACAUGCAAGUCGAACGGACGGUAGCAAUACCGUUAGUGGCGAACGGGUGAGUAACACGUGGGAACCUGCCUGGUCGUACGGAAUAACUGCGGGAAACUGCAGCUAAUACCGUAUGUGUCCUUCGGGAGAAAGGAGCAAUCCGCGACCAGAGGGGCCCGCGUCCGAUUAGCUAGUUGGCGGGGUAACGGCCCACCAAGGCGACGAUCGGUAGCUGGUCUGAGAGGAUGAUCAGCCACACUGGGACUGAGACACGGCCCAGACUCCUACGGGAGGCAGCAGUGGGGAAUAUUGGACAAUGGGGGAAACCCUGAUCCAGCAAUGCCGCGUGGGUGAUGAAGGCCUUCGGGUUGUAAAGCCCUUUCGGCGGGGACGAUGAUGACGGUACCCGCAGAAGAAGCCCCGGCUAACUUCGUGCCAGCCGCCGCAGUAAAAC
rnacentral:rRNA from 1 species